UGGGCUCAUCCCCCCCAUCAUUGGCAUGGGGCCACCUUGGCCCUUGGCUGCAGAGCAUGUGGCUACAGAGACCAGGCAGGACAGGCAGAGGCUGGGCAGGUGGAGGUGGACACUGCUGGGACAAGCUGAGAUGCUCCGAAUCAGAUGGGAUGGGGCAGGGCUGGAAAUGGAGCUCAAGGUGGAGAGCAUCCUCGAGCAGGGGGAGGAGAGCCAUGUGGGGCCAUGGCUCAUCCCAGCGCUGCUGACAGGGCAGGGAUGACACUGUAAGGGGACCGCUGCAGCUAUGGCAGCCUCCCUUGGCCCAGCAAAUGCUUGUGUCCUGGCUGAGAGAGAGCAGCGAUGGACAAGCACUAGAAUGCAGCUUUAGUGAACCUGCCUUUGCUGUCCUCCAGAAACCACUGGGAAGCCACAGUGUCAUUGGGGACAAUGACCCUGACUGCACAUGCUGCAGCCAUGAAAACUGCAACAAGGUAGUGCUUCCCUGUACCACUGAGACAGCCACCUCGGCAAGGUGCAGCAAUACUUUGAGCAACACUAUUUAGCGGUUAAGGCAGCAAAUGAAGACCACGAGAUGGCUCACCAAAAGCUGGAUAACUACAGGGUGGAGAUGCAGUGACAGUUCUGUGUGGCUGGGACCAUGAGCUGGUGACUGCCUGCUAGGUGCAGCCCAAAGGGCUCUCUGCAGCACGGAGCCAUGAGACAUCUGUGGCAUGGCAGCAGGACACACGCCCCUGUCCUCCGCUCUGUUAGAAAAUCAGAGCCCCUUUCUUACCCCUCAUGCUGGAGUCCCCAAGGGACCUCCUGUGCUAUGUGAGCAUAUGUCUUGCCAGUACUAGCCACCCUUCGGCACCCACAGCCCAGCUGUGGAGGAGCAUCCAGGGUUAGUGAGCUCCUGGGACAGGCACAGGAAGCAGCGCAGCCUGAGGACAGCGCUGGUGGCAGACCUAGGCAGGAUGGUGCAGGAGCUGGGCUCAGGACCUCUGUCCUCCCAGCCUCAGCCAUUCCAACUUGGAAAGCGGAGCAGCACCACUUGGCUGCUGCCUCCAGCCAUCCUCCAUCCUUUCUGCCCUCAUCCUCCAACCCAGAGAUGCAGCCCAUGGCAGGGCCCACUGCCCUGCUACCCCCUGAAGGAAGGCCCACAGACAGGGUGUCCUGGCCCCCCACGCAGGACCCAGCUGUGGCUCCCACAGGCGGUGGCUGGGUGCCAUGGCCCUGUCCAGGACAAAGGUACAGGUGGAGGAGGGCAGCGCUGCCAUGCCCUGUGCUGGCGUGUAGCCUCUGCGUGCCGGGGAACACGUGCAGCAGGCAUGCCCUCAGCCAGCUGGCACUGCUUGCUGCCACCCCAGAGGAGAGCCCUGCCCGUCUGGGAGGAGCCCUCAAAUACACAUCAGGGCUGCCAGUCCUGUGGAGGGCUGCAAGCACAGAGGAGACACACGGGGCACCUCGGUGCUGUCUGCUUGUUCGUGCUGAUCUGCUGUAAGAGGCAGAAGACAGUGCUGGCACUGCCCUUAGAAGUUCACGUUGGCGCCUGGAUCCCAGUGAGGAAACACUGACAGCUUCAACCAACAGGUUGAGUGCAAAGAGCUUUUCCAACUUCAGACCCUGCUGGAAGCCUCUGCAUCUCAGGUCAGGACCCCAGCUAUGCUGCAGGCACACCAGCACACACCUUCGGCAGCAAUCCCCUUGGAAGUUCCAAGCACAGCUCAGCCAGACUCUCCCACCCACAGGACACGCACGGAGCUGCGAAGAUUAAAAUGGUAAGACUUGACAGGCUCUGGCAGCAAAGGAGCUCCCAAAGCCCCAGCACGCCCAGCAGCGGAGACCACAAGCAGGAAGCAGGCAAAAAAGCAAAGCAGAGCUCUGUGCACAAAGGAGAAGUGCACUGUAUACUCACAGCCACGUCUGGACGGGACCUGCCCUUUCGUGCUGCCAUAGUCCGGCACCUCGGCUGAAACCUGAGCCUGGUGUCCCCUCUCCCCCUCCUUGGUUAUCUACUCCCCAGCUUUGAGAGAGCCAACAGGAUAUUUAAUAGCAAGCUGCCUGCAGAAAGCAGAUGCCUGCUGCCAAGCACAGGGAGCAGGUCAGAGCUACAGAGAACACCUUGGGAAGGGCAACACCAAGCAGCCCCACAGACAUGCCCAGGAGCCCGGCAUCUCACAGUUGGAGCCCUGCUCUAAUCUCUUCGGGCAGUGCCAUCGUUCUCAUUCCCACCCUGGGAGGAGCUCCACCAGCUCCUUCUGCAUAUUGCUGAUAAAGGAAGGGAGGGUCUCAACAUUGCCUCCUUCCAUGAAAAGUGGCUACAUCUGUCAGGAACCCACUCAGCACAUGCUGCUAAAUGCUGCACAUAGAUGAUUCCCAAGUGCAAACGAGUUCAGAAGCUGAUGCUGCUGUCACUGUUUUCUGGGCCAGCAGGAAGCAGGCAAGCAGCAAGUUGCCGUGCUGUUCCAGACUGGCGAAAGGCACACGUGCAUCCCACUACACUGCCCUCUUCACCCUGUCUGCCCACUUGUCUCUCCUGUCUACAAGUCUUCUGCUGGAGCUGCAAGGCAGCCUGGGCAGGGACUGCAAAUACUUCGUUGUUUAUUCAGCACCCAGCAGGAGGAAGGGGCUGAGCUGGCUGCUUGCUGGGGAGCUCCGGAGGAGGUGGGACCCCUUCACUGCAAGGAUGUGCAUGCAGAUUGACGGGACUGCUCGGGCCUAUGUCCGGCUGCAGACAUGGCCAAAGAUGCUCAGAGAAAGGGACUGGGCACCCUUUCCAACAAACCCAUGACUCCAGCAGUCCCCAAAGAGAAGCCCUGCCCAGUUAGAGGCUGCUAGGAUCCACUGGCCCUUCCCACUACCUGCUGAAACAAAGUGCUUUGACUUCAACCAGCUGAUUCCAGGUGAUAACCUAGAGCCCUUCUCAUCAGAUUGGAGUCAGUCCUGCAAACUAAAACAGUUGCUAAGAUUAAGCGCAGUCAGAGAUGUAUCCUACGGUCUCUCUAAAAAGAUCAGGGAAGAUCAGGAAAAUUGAAUCAUGGAUUCAGCUCAGAAUACCCAGAAAGAGAAACCGCACUGUCUGCUGUACAGGAACUUUCUUCCCUAUCUGCAUUCACAGAAGCUUGACACUCCCAGUGGUGUCUGCAGUGGGUACAAAACCUACUGUCAGGUUUCUGCCUUCUGGGUGGAAGAAAGCAUUCAGCAGAGCACAGCAUCUCCAGAGAAGCCAUUGGAGCAAAGCCUCAGGCGGGCUGCCAGAAGAGCACAGAGAAGAGGCUACCAGGCACAUACUGCAAACCUAGA